AACCUCUGGAUUUACUCCAGAGCUGACGGUACCUGAAGAAUAAGCACCGGCUAACUCCGUGCCAGCAGCCGCGGUAAUACGGAGGGUGCGAGCGUUAUCCGGAAUUACUGGGUUUAAAGGGUGCGUAGGCGGCUAUGUAAGUCAGGAGUGAAAGUUUGCGGCUCAACCGUAAAAUUGCUUUUGAUACUGCAUGGCUGGAAUUAGGAUGAGGUCAGCGGAAUGUGGCAUGUAGCGGUGAAAUGCAUAGAUAUGCCAUAGAACACCAAUUGCGAAGGCAGCUGACUAGACCUGGAUUGACGCUGAGGCACGAAAGCGUGGGGAGCGAACAGGAUUAGAUACCCUGGUAGUCCACGCCCUAAACGAUGCUCACUCGACGUACGGCGCUUGUCNUUGUGCGUCCAAGGGAAACCGUUAAGUGAGCCACCUGGGGAGUACGACCGCAAGGUUGAAACUCAAA
rnacentral:rRNA from 1 species